CCUACGGGAGGCAGCAGUGGGGAAUUCUGGACAAUGGGGGCAACCCUGAUCCAGCAAUGCCGCGUGUGUGAAGAAGGCCUUCGGGUUGUAAAGCACUUUUGUCCGGAAAGAAAUGGCCCUGGCUAAUACCCGGGGUCGACGACGGUACCGGAAGAAUAAGCACCGGCUAACUACGUG
rnacentral:rRNA from 1 species